rnacentral:rRNA from 1 species
UACGUAGGGUGCGAGCGUUGUCCGGAAUUAUUGGGCGUAAAGGGCUCGUAGGCGGUCUGUUGCGUCAGGAGUGAAAACUCGGGGCUUAACCCGAGCCCUGCUUCUGAUACGGGCAGACUAGAGGUAUGCAGGGGGAGAACGGAAUUCCUGGUGUAGCGGUGGAAUGCGCAGAUAUCAGGAGGAACACCAGUGGCGAAGGCAGGAUCUCUGGGC